rnacentral:rRNA from 1 species
CAGUCGAGCGGAGGAGUUGCUUCGGUAACUGACCUAGCGGCGGACGGGUGAGUAAUACUUAGGAAUCUGCCUAUUAAUGGGGGACAACAUCUCAAAAGGGAUGCUAAUACCGCAUACGCCCUACGGGGGAAAGCAGGGGAUCACUUGGGACCUUGCAUUAAUAGAUGAGCCUAAGUCGGAUUAGCUAGUUGGUGGGGUAAAGGCCUACCAAGGCGACGAUCUGUAGCGGGUCUGAGAGGAUGAUCCGCCACACUGGGACUGAGACACGGCCCAGACUCCUACGGGAGGCAGCAGUGGGGAAUAUUGGACAAUGGGGGGAACCCUGAUCCAGCCAUGCCGCGUGUGUGAAGAAGGCCUUAUGGUUGUAAAGCACUUUAAGCGAGGAGGAGGCUCUUUUGGUUAAUACCCAAGAUGAGUGGACGUUACUCGCAGAAUAAGCACCGGCUAACUCUGUGCCAGCAGCCGCGGUAAUACAGAGGGUGCGAGCGUUAAUCGGAUUUACUGGGCGUAAAGCGUGCGUAGGCGGCUUUUUAAGUCGGAUGUGAAAUCCCCGAGCUUAACUUGGGAAUUGCAUUCGAUACUGGGAAGCUAGAGUAUGGGAGAGGAUGGUAGAAUUCCAGGUGUAGCGGUGAAAUGCGUAGAGAUCUGGAGGAAUACCGAUGGCGAAGGCAGCCAUCUGGCCUAAUACUGACGCUGAGGUACGAAAGCAUGGGGAGCAAACAGGAUUAGAUACCCUGGUAGUCCAUGCCGUAAACGAUGUCUACUAGCCGUUGGGGUCUUUGAGACUUUAGUGGCGCAGCUAACGCGAUAAGUAGACCGCCUGGGGAGUACGGUCGCAAGACUAAAACUCAAAUGAAUUGACGGGGGCCCGCACAAGCGGUGGAGCAUGUGGUUUAAUUCGAUGCAACGCGAAGAACCUUACCUGGUCUUGACAUAGUAAGAACUUUCCAGAGAUGGAUUGGUGCCUUCGGGAACUUACAUACAGGUGCUGCAUGGCUGUCAACA